rnacentral:rRNA from 1 species
UCAACUUGAGAGUUUGAUUCUGGCUCAGAACGAACGCUGGCGGCAGGCUUAACACAUGCAAGUCGAACGAUAUAGUGGCAGACGGGUGAGUAACGCGUGGGAACGUACCUUUCACUACGGAAUAGCUCUUGGAAACGAGUGGUAAUACCGUAUACGCCCUUCGGGGGAAAGAUUUAUCGGUGAAAGAUCGGCCCGCGUUAGAUUAGCUAGUUGGUAGGGUAAUGGCCUACCAAGGCGACGAUCUAUAGCUGGUCUGAGAGGAUGAUCAGCCACACUGGGACUGAGACACGGCCCAGACUCCUACGGGAGGCAGCAGUGGGGAAUCUUGCACAAUGGGCGAAAGCCUGAUGCAGCCAUGCCGCGUGAAUGAUGAAGGCCUUAGGGUUGUAAAAUUCUUUCGCUAGGGAUGAUAAUGACAGUACCUAGUAAAGAAGCCCCGGCUAACUUCGUGCCAGCAGCCGCGGUAAUACGAAGGGGGCUAGCGUUGUUCGGAAUUACUGGGCGUAAAGCGCACGUAGGCGGACUUUUAAGUCAGAUGUGAAAUCCCGGGGCUCAACCUCGGAACUGCAUUUGAAACUGGAAGUCUAGAGACCAGGAGAGGUUAGCGGAAUACCGAGUGUAGAGGUGAAAUUCGUAGAUAUUCGGUGGAACACCAGUGGCGAAGGCGGCUAACUGGACUGGUACUGACGCUGAGGUGCGAAAGUGUGGGGAGCAAACAGGAUUAGAUACCCUGGUAGUCCACACCGUAAACGAUGAGAGCUAGUUGUUGGCAGGCAUGCCUGUCGGUGACGCAGCUAACGCAUUAAGCUCUCCGCCUGGGGAGUACGGUCGCAAGAUUAAAACUCAAAGAAAUUGACGGGGGCCCGCACAAGCGG